GCCGGCUCUCAGUUCGAAUAAUCCUCCCUGGUAAACGGAGUGAAGGGCGUAUUCUGCGUCUGGAGCCCAGCACUUUGUUCCCACGCCCUUCAGCAGCUGAGGAAACCCAGACACACGGAGUCAACAUGAAGAACUCCCCCGACUCAGAGCUGUAACGGAUAAUCCCCGUGGAAAACCCGACCUCAGUUAAAGGUUUCGACAUCAGCGGCGGCCGACGGAGCCAAAUCCAGGCUUAAUCCAGGCUAAAUCCAGGCUUCAGUGAGCGACCACGCACAAGCUUCUAACCAGGUUCUGAAGAUUUAUGUUCUCAGAGUCGGGCGCCAACGUUGCUCCAUAAAACUGACUGAUCGCUGUUCAGCAGUCCUGGAACAUUGUUCGACACCACACCUGAAGAUGGAUCGCUGUCACUCCCGAGACAAAUGUCUGAUCUUUCAGGAAAAAUCCACAGCUGCUGCUUCUUUGCUGUUCAUGUUCAGAAGUGGAAGCUGCUCACAGGAGUUUGGUCCGGUCACGUUUUCACUGUAAAUGUUUCGACGUCGUGUCAGUGGGGAUCUGCGUCCACACUAACGCGGCAGAUGAUCUGCGUCCACACUAAUGCGGCAGGUGAUCUGCGUCCACACUAACGCGGCAGGUGAUCUGCGUCCACAC